CGGCUUCCUGUUCGACGAGAUGCGCAAGAAGGCUGCUGGCACCGGCGAGGAUCCCUUCCGCGUCCUCCCCGACGACCUGCUCGAGCAUAUCCUAUCCUUCCUGCCGGAUGAUGAUGCCCUGCAGACCUGCGUGCUCGACACCCAGUGGCGCGACCUCUGGAGGCGCAAAACCAGCCUGCACUUCAUGUUCGAGGACUGGUCAAGUUUCAGCCGCGAGCGUUUCACUCAGUUGGUGAAGCUGAUAAUCCAACUCGGGGGGAGGCACCUCUGACCGACUGCCAGAUCGAUCCCUGCAGUGGCGAGGACUAUAUCAAUUUCACAGAAGCCGAGCCGUUGAUUGAGUACGUUCUAAAGUGCCGGGUUGAGAAGCUCUCUAUUUGUGCUAGUGACAUUUGGUACGAAGGCAUACUACUGGAUGAGCGUUUCAUCUCCCGCCACUUGAGGACCAUAGAAUUUGGAGGAGUUGACCUCCUGGGUUACUCACUAGAUUCCUCACUAAAUUUCUCGGGCUGCCCAGUAUUAGAGGAACUCACAAUACACAAUUGCCUCGUUGGCACACGGGAGAUAUGUUCUAAAUCACUAAAGCAUCUGUGGUUCACUGGGCAGUGUGUCUUCUCUAAUGAAAACCACACUGAUAUUGAUGCCCCGCGUCUUAUCUCACUGGAAAUAAGUAAUGCUGAGCAGCUCACUCCUUUCCUUGAAGAGAUCCCAUUACUAGAAAAAGCAUCUAUCUUCCUUGGUCGUGGGUGCUACAAUGUCUGUCAUGGUGACUGGGGAUGUAGAUGUUCUGACAUGAAGUGUCUGCUUCUCAAUGGAUUGUCCAAUGCUGUUGAUUUGAAAUUGAUUUCUGACCCUAAAUUGGUAUGUUUGUACUAUCUUUCUCACUCUUACUGUUAAUUUGCCAGUUGCCCCCCAUGGUUUCUCUCGUAGCUGUAGUAUCUAUAUCCAUUGUCAGUGCUGCAUAUAGUCAAGUUGUUUAUUUUCAUUAUCACACCUUGCUAACUUCAUCCUCACUCGGUGGGCCUUAAAUGGAUAUAUUAAUAACAACAUUGCUUGUUUAGAUAGAAUGUGAUAGUUUGGGGCCUAUGGUGUAGUUUUUUCUUUCUCUAAUUUUGUAAUUAAAGUACCUUCUUGAAUCCUAAUAUAUUGUAUUAGACUCAGAUUUUUUUUUCAUUGCAAUUUGUCCAGCUUAUCUUCAAACGGGAUUUGGAAUGGUGCCCUAAAUUUGACAGAUUAAAGACUCUCACGCUCAAUGAGUGGUUUACGGCUACUGACCUAGUUUGCAUUCUCAAAAACUCUCCAAUCCUUGAGAAGCUCAAUCUUCAGCUUGGCAACACUAAGAAUUUUGUAGGAGCAACGGGAUCCAAACAAUCGUUCGCGUGUGCGUCCAUUUUGGCUGUCAACAUUGAAUGCAGAAAAGUUGAUGAGGGCGUUCGCAAAAUUUUGGAGGUCUUGAGUACAUGUGGCAUACUUCGUGAGCAGAUUAGCCUCAAGUGCCGAGAUCGCACUUAGAUUAUAAGUUACCUCCAUCCACAUUUGGUGUCCAUUAUCAGUUAUAAUCUUCCAUCCAGUAAUUAAGACAAAGAUGUGAGCUCGGUCAUGAUGUUUGUCUGAAGAUUUAUGUUUCUCUAAAGAGUCCUGAUGGUGGCCAUGUUUUGGCGGUUAGCCUGUUACCGUGAUGUUCAGUUAGUCCUUCCCAUGUUUAGUCUCCACUGGAAAUCUGUCGUUGUGGUUUCUUUCUUUCGUGCAACUUAGCAGAACGGUCUAAACUUUGUUGAAUUGGGAAUGUGCAACUUAGGAAAAUAAUGUCUGU